rnacentral:misc_RNA from 1 species
CUCUCUCCCUCUUGCACUACACUACAAUUGGAGGUCCGUGUUAAAUGUUCAAGAAAUAAAAAAGAACCACCUUGCGGGCUGUGUAAUAGUGUUGUUAGGGUUCAGUUGACAUUCAACGCCGAAUAAAAAAUAAUACAACAAAGUUUUAGACAAUAUAAAAACGAACACACAUACAAGUCGGAGCCUUUCUACAUAUAGAGGAGGCAUAAACGAAGGCCAAACGGAUAAUUGGAGAUUGGAUGAUAAGGCAGGCGUGCCGCCGCCAGGUUCCGGGAAAAGUGAACUCUUCUCCGUACCAACGAUGUCCCCCGCCUUCCUGACGUUGGUCGCCGUUGUCGUGUGCAUACUGUUUCGCAUCCUGAACGUGCACAGCCAGCCCCUAAAGCCGAGUGUCUGGUGCCUGGACGAGCAGUUCCUCGAUUGCCUCUACAAAAUAGCGCCUGUAUUAAAAGAGCCCUAUGUACCUCCGCGACUCUGGGGCUUUAGUGGUCAUGUGCAAACGGUUUUGCACAGCAUUGUUGGACGAGUACGUUGCCCGUGGCCCUUGGGAGAGCGGGUCUAUCUCUCCCUGCGUGAUGGCUCCACAUUAACCUACGACCUUUACCAGCCCCUCCACGAGCAAGAGGACGAUAUAACCGUGGCCAUUUGUCCCGGCAUAGCUAACAGCUCGGAAUCGGUUUACAUACGAACCUUUGUUCACUUGGCUCAAUGCAAUGGCUAUCGCUGUGCGGUACUGAAUCACAUUGGAGCUCUGCGCAGUGUCCAGGUUACAUCGACACGCAUCUUUACUUAUGGCCACACCGAGGAUUUCGCCGCCAUGGUGGAAAAUUUGCAUCAGAAAUAUUGUCAGAGUCGAAUUGUAGCGGUCGGAUUUAGUUUGGGCGGAAAUCUGGUCACCAAAUACAUGGGCGAGAUGCAGAAGCUCAAGCCACUCAGCGUCAUCGGUGGCAUAUCCAUAUGCCAGGGCUACAAUGCUGUAGAGGGAACCAAAUGGUUGCUGAAUUGGCAAAACUUCCGACGCUUCUACCUAUACAUUAUGACGGAGAAUGUGAAGAGUAUUAUCCUGCGACAUCGCCACAUCCUGCUCUCCGAUGAGGUCAAGACACGUCAUAAUCUGAACGAGCGCGAAAUAAUUGCAGCGGCAACUUUGCCAGAACUGGAUGAGGCCUACACAAGGAAGGUCUAUAAUUUCGGCUCCAUCCAGGAACUGUACAAAUGGAGCUCCUCGCUGUUCUACUUUGAUACAAUAGAGAAGCCGAUGAUAUUUAUAAAUGCUAGGGAUGAUCCAUUGAUACCAGAGGAGUUGUUGCUGCCCAUCAAGGAGUAUGCAAUCACACGGCAGAAUACAGCCUACGUAGAGGUGGCCCAUGGCGGACAUCUGGGCUUCUACGAGGGCGGUUUCCUUUACCCGAAUCCUGUCACCUGGCUGGAUCGCACACUGGUGGCCAUGGUGGGAUCGCUAGUGAUGAUGCACGCUGAUCUGGGCAAGGGCAACACAAAACUAUAAAAAGUUUUUGCGUGAAAAUCGGAUGCCGCUAUCUAAAUGAAUCUUAAUCAAAGGGAGAAACCGAACGGAAACAAAUAGAACUUACAUAUAAUAAUUGAUGUGAAGCAACUUAAAUUAUCACCAAUGGAAACAGGAAAACCAAAAUUGAUGUAUACUUUUGUAAAGUGCAUUUAAAAAUGAGAAUAAUUUAUUACCAGAAUGUUUUGAACAGUUUAUGGGUCAACAUUAACGUUUUAUGAAAUUUCGAAAAGCCAAGCAUAUAAUGUGUCACCCCAACUUAUAUUUUAGUUAGUUUAUUGAUGUAAUACGGUGUAAUAUAUUUUUUAUAUGGCGACUGUACACAAGACACAUACACAUACCACAUACCAGACACACAUGAUAUUCAUAUAUUUGAUGCCAGUAAUUAUAAAUUAUAAGUCCCCAGUCGAAAACGCACAAACACUCGCACCAUAUAAAAUAGAACAACCAAAUGCCUUAUUGUAGACUUCGUUUUAUAUAAGUGUAUAUGAUUUUUGAAUAAUUUUAUAUCAUUUUGUACUACGAUGCAUUUCGAGUCAAAGAAAGAAACCAAAAAGAAAGUUCGCCCAACGAUGGCUACGA